CCCGGACACAAGCAGCGGAGCAUGUGGUUUAAUUCGAAGCAACGCGAAGAACCUUACCAGGUCUUGACAUCCCUCUGAAGUAUGCUUAGCCGCAUAUGUCCUUCGGGACAGGGGAGACAGGUGGUGCAUGGUUGUCGUCAGCUCGUGUCGUGAGAUGUUGGGUUAAGUCCCGCAACGAGCGCAACCCUUGUGUUUAGUUGCCAACAGAUAAUGCUGUGCACUCUAAACAGACUGCCGUGGAUAACACGGAGGAAGGUGGGGAUGACGUCAAAUCAUCAUGCCCCUUAUGAUCUGGGCUACACACGUGCUACAAUGGUCGGUACAACGGGCAGCGAAAGAGUAAUCUGGAGCGAAUCCUAAAAAGCCGAUCCCAGUUCGGAUUGUGGGCUGAAACUCGCCCACAUGAAGUUGGAGUUGCUAGUAAUCGCGAAUCAGAAUGUCGCGGUGAAUGCGUUCCCGGGUCUU
rnacentral:rRNA from 1 species